GACGAACGCUGGCGGCGUGCCUAAUACAUGCAAGUCGAACGAGUGGCGGACGGGUGAGUAAUGUCUGGGAAACUGCCUGAUGGAGGGGGAUAACUACUGGAAACGGUAGCUAAUACCGCAUACCAUCAGAUGUGCCCAGAUGGGAGUAGCUUGUUGGUGGGGUAACGGCUCACCAAGGCGACGAUCCCUAGCUGGUCUGAGAGGAUGACCAGCCAAACUGGAACUGCGACACGGUCCAGACUCCUACGGGAGGCAGCAGUGGGGAAUAUUUGACAAUGGGCGCAAGCCUGAUGGAGCCACGCCGCGUGUAUGAAGAAGGCCUUCGGGUUGUAAAUUACUGUCAGCGGGGAGGCGUUACCCGAAGAAGAAGCACCGGCUAACUCCGUGCCAGCCGCCGCGGUAAUUC
rnacentral:rRNA from 1 species